rnacentral:lncRNA from 1 species
CGAUGUUUCUCAAAUGCACGAAGGUCAUCAGCUUCCUGGUAAGACAAACUGGAUCAAGUGAACAUAAGAGAGUCAGGCCUAUAAGAAGAUUUUACAGGUCUCCAGAUUUCAAUCUCAGACAACACACUCACAAGAUCGCUUAUUUAAAAUAUAAAUUCUACCACUCAUCACUGAUUCAAAUCAGUUUUUAACGUGAAUAAACAAAUCAUAUACCAUAAGCGGACUUGCCAAAUAUAGACAAAGUGCUUACUCUUCAAAGUUUGAACUAAUAUUCUCAGACGACAGAGAGAGAAAGUAAGCACAAUUUAAACAUUAUUUACAGUAAACUUUUUUGAGUAGUGGAAGAUAUAAAGUGGCGAGUACUCACAAAUCUAUCAAGAAUAAACAACCAACGUUGUUAGUCACCAGCCAACUAGACCAUCGUCGUCAACUUUGCCACAUCCUUUAGCGAAUCCUUGACUGAAACUUGGCGUUUGUUGAUCUGUGAUGCUCUGCAUCAAACGCUGCAAAAAUUGCAGACUCUGCUGGUCCUUGUGCUGAAACCUCCAUCCAUGGUCUGCCUUGUUUCUGUAGCUGCUGGACUGGUAAAGAGAAACUUCAGGAGUCUACACAUAAGGAUAUAAUUUGACAAUGUCUCCUCAACAGUUCACAAACAAAUCAACAAUGUAACGCUCUAGACCUACCAAAACCUUUAAAAAUUUAGACCAAGUCUUUGUCCAAUCAAGAAACAAAUUAAUGCCAUUUUAUUUGUAAGGGCCUCAUUCACUCUUAAAUGUAAAACUACUAUGCAUAUUGUUUCUGCUAAUAUUUUUUGCUUUUGUAAUUGUAGUGUGCUUGAAACCCGAAAAAAAUUGAAAUCAAAAAGUAACAUUGCAAAAUCCAUAAAGAUACCAUUGAGAGAGAGAGGUAAAACCCAAAAAGAUCAAAUCCUAAGAGUUGCUAUAAACCCCUAAAUCCUAGAAUCAAAAAUUUCAAUAGAUUAAUCUCAUUUGGUGAUUGUGUCAUCAUUGCUUAUGCAAUCACAAGAAGAAAAUUAAAAGAAAGCAGAAACGAAAAAUCACCUGGUAGCUCCUUGAUUUAGGAAGCCUCCACCAAAACGUCGACGAGAGUGACGGCUGAUCACAAUCGCAUUUGCUCCGCCGCCGCAGCCUCAUAAAAAAAAAAAUCUCCUUGUCGAUUUGUUUCAUUAGAAGACGACUUUACCGAUAUAUAAAAAUUCGGUUCAUUAACUUAUGUAAUGCCGGUUUGAAUGUAAUUUUGUUCUAAAUGUUUUGAUUCUUCCUUUGAUUAUGUCACACAAACAGAGA